UACGAAGGGGGCUAGCGUUGUUCGGAUUCACUGGGCGUAAAGGGUGCGUAGGUGGUCGGGUAAGUCUGAUGUGAAAUCUCCGAGCUUAACUCGGAAAUGGCAUUGGAAACUACCUUGCUCGAGGGUUGGAGGGGGGACUGGAAUUCUCGGUGUAGCAGUGAAAUGCGUAGAUAUCGAGAGGAACACCAGUGGCGAAGGCGAGUCCCUGGACAACUCCUGACACUGAGGCACGAAAGCUAGGGGAGCAAACAGG
rnacentral:rRNA from 1 species